rnacentral:rRNA from 1 species
CCUACGGGAGGCAGCAGUGGGGAAUAUUGCACAAUGGGGGAAACCCUGAUGCAGCGACGCCGCGUGAGCGAUGAAGGAUUUCGGUAUGUAAAGCCCUAUCAGCAGGGAAGAAGAUGACGGUACCUGACUAAGAAGCCCCGGCUGACUACGUGCCAGCAGCCGCGGUAAUACGUAGGGGGCACGCGUUAUCCGGAUUUACUGGGGGUUAAGGGAGCGUAGACGGCGAUGCAAGCCAGAUGUGAAAGCCCGGGGCGCAACCCCGGGAGUGCAUUGGGAACUGGGUGGCUGGAGUGUGGGAGAGGCAUGCGGAAUGCCUGGUGUAGCGGUGAAAUGCGUAGAUAUUAGGAGGAACACCAGUGGCGAAGGCGGCAUGCUGGAGGAUGACUGACGUUGAGGCACGAAAGCGUGGGGAGCGAACAGGAUUAGAUACCCGGGUAGUC